AGAGUUUGAUCCUGGCUCAGAUUGAACGCUGGCGGCAGGCUUAACACAUGCAAGUCGAGCGGAGAUGAGGUGCUUGCACCUUAUCUUAGCGGCGGACGGGUGAGUAAUGCUUAGGAAUCUGCCAUUUAGUGGGGGACAACAUCUCGAAAGGGAUGCUAAUACCGCAUACGUCCUACGGGAGAAAGCAGGGGAUCUUCGGACCUUGCGCUAAAUGAUGAGCCUAAGUCGGAUUAGCUAGUUGGUGGGGUAAAGGCCUACCAAGGCGACGAUCUGUAGCGGGUCUGAGAGGAUGAUCCGCCACACUGGGACUGAGACACGGCCCAGACUCCUACGGGAGGCAGCAGUGGGGAAUAUUGGACAAUGGGCGGAAGCCUGAUCCAGCCAUGCCGCGUGUGUGAAGAAGGCCUUUUGGUUGUAAAGCACUUUAAGCGAGGAGGAGGCUACUAGUAUUAAUACUACUGGAUAGUGGACGUUACUCGCAGAAUAAGCACCGGCUAACUCUGUGCCAGCAGCCGCGGUAAUACAGAGGGUGCGAGCGUUAAUCGGAUUUACUGGGCGUAAAGCGUGCGUAGGCGGCUGAUUAAGUCGGAUGUGAAAUCCCUGAGCUUAACUUAGGAAUUGCAUUCGAUACUGNUCAGCUAGAGUAUGGGAGAGGAUGGUAGAAUUCCAGGNGUAGCGGUGAAAUGCGUAGAGAUCUGGAGGAAUACCGAUGGCGAAGGCAGCCAUCUGGCCUAAUACUGACGCUGAGGUACGAAAGCAUGGGGAGCAAACAGGAUUAGAUACCCUGGUAGUCCAUGCCGUAAACGAUGUCUACUAGCCGUUGGGGCCUUUGAGGCUUUAGUGGCGCAGCUAACGCGAUAAGUAGACCGCCUGGGGAGUACGGUCGCAAGACUAAAACUCAAAUGAAUUGACGGGGGCCCGCACAAGCGGUGGAGCAUGUGGUUUAAUUCGAUGCAACGCGAAGAACCUUACCUACUCUUGACAUCCAGAGAAUUCGCUAGAGAUAGCUUAGUGCCUUCGGGAGCUCUGAGACAGGUGCUGCAUGGCUGUCGUCAGCUCGUGUUGUGAAAUGUUGGGUUAAGUCCCGCAACGAGCGCAACCCUUAUCCUUUGUUGCCAGCACGUAAUGGUGGGAACUCAAAGGAGACUGCCGGUGAUAAACCGGAGGAAGGUGGGGAUGACGUCAAGUCAUCAUGGCCCUUACGAGUAGGGCUACACACGUGCUACAAUGGCAUAUACAAAGAGAAGCAAACUCGCGAGAGCAAGCGGACCUCAUAAAGUAUGUCGUAGUCCGGAUUGGAGUCUGCAACUCGACUCCAUGAAGUCGGAAUCGCUAGUAAUCGUAGAUCAGAAUGCUACGGUGAAUACGUUCCCGGGCCUUGUACACACCGCCCGUCACACCAUGGGAGUGGGUUGCAAAAGAAGUAGGUAGCUUAACCUUCGGGAGGG
rnacentral:rRNA from 1 species